rnacentral:rRNA from 1 species
AUGUUAAUUGGUUGUUAAAUGAAUUAUUUGUCCUGCUCACUGUGURUAUAAAGAGCUGCAGUAUUUUGACUGUACAAAGGUAGCAUAAUUAUUAGUCUUUUAAUUGAGGACUAGGAUGAAAGGUUAGACGAGAGAYUACUAUCUAAUGCUUAAUAAUUAAAGCUUUCUUUUUUGUUAAAAGACAAAAAUGGAGCUAAAAGACAAAAAGACCCUAUAAAACUUCAUUAAAAUAAGGAUUAUCUUUAAAAUUAUAUGAARGAGAUUUUURUUCAAUUUUAUUGGGGCGAUAAAUAUAAAUCUAUAUUAAGAAAAACAAUUUAUAAUUGAAUGAAUGUAAGAACCUGCUUGAAGGCUAAUAGAAAAAGUUACUUUAGGGAUAACAGCGUAAUGAUUUUAUAGAGUUCUUAUCGACAAAAUUGUUUGCGA